rnacentral:rRNA from 1 species
UACGUAGGGGGCACGCGUUGUCCGGAUUUAUUGGGCGUAAAGAGCGUGUAGGCGGCCAGACAGGUCAGCUGUGAAAACUCGAGGCUCAACCUCGAGACGUCGGUUGAAACCGUCUGGCUAGAGUCCGGAAGAGGAGAGUGGAAUUCCCGGUGUAGCGGUGAAAUGCGCAGAUAUCGGGAAGAACACCCGUGGCGAAGGCGGCUCUCUGGGACGGUACUGACGCUGAGACGCGAAAGCGUGGGGAGCGAACAGG